UACAGAGGUCUCAAGCGUUGUUCGGAUUCAUUGGGCGUAAAGGGUGCGUAGGCGGCGCGGUAAGUCGGGUGUCAAAUCUUGGAGCUUAACUCCGAAACUGCAUUCGAUACUGCCGUGCUUGAGGACUGGAGAGGAGACUGGAAUUUACGGUGUAGCGGUGAAAUGUGUAGAUAUCGUAAGGAAGACCAGUGGCGAAGGCGGGUCUCUGGACAGUUCCUGACGCUGAGGCACGAAGGCCAGGGGAGCAAACGGG
rnacentral:rRNA from 1 species